rnacentral:rRNA from 1 species
UACGUAGGGUGCAAGCGUUGUCCGGAAUUAUUGGGCGUAAAGAAGCUCUGUGAGCGGUUUGUCGCGUCUGCUGUGAAAACCCGAGGCUCAACCUCGGGCCUGCAGUGGGUACGGGCAGACUAGAGUGCGGUAGGGGAGAUUGGAAUUCCUGGUGUAGCGGUGGAAUGCGCAGAUAUCAGGAGGAACACCAAUGGCGAAGGCAGAUCUCUGGGCCGUAACUGACGCUGAGGAGCGAAAGCGUGGGGAGCGAACAGG